CCUACGGGUGGCAGCAGUGAGGAAUAUUGGUCAAUGGGCGAGAGCCUGAACCAGCCAAGUCGCGUGAGGGAGUACUGCCCUAUGGGUUGUAAACCUCUUUUGUCGGGGAGCAAAAGCCGUACGUGUCCGGCUGUUAGAGUACCCGAAGAAAAAGCAUCGGCUAACUCCGGGCCAGCAGGCGCGGUAAUACGGGGGAUGCGAGCGUUAUCCGGUUUUAUUGGGUUUAAGGGGGGCGAAGGCGGAUUGUUAAGGCAGCGGUCAAAUCGUGGGGCUCAACCCCAUCCAGCCGUUGAAACUGGGGAUCUAGAGUGUGCGAGAGGUAUGCGGAAUGCGUGGUGUAGCGGUGAAAUGCAUAGAUAUCACGCAGAACCCCGAUUGCGAAGGCAGCAUACCGGUGCACAACUGACGCUCAGGCACGAAAGCGUGGGUAUCGAACAGGAUUAGAUACCCGAGUAGUC
rnacentral:rRNA from 1 species